UACAGAGGUCUCAAGCGUUGUUCGGAUUCAUUGGGCGUAAAGGGUGCGUAGGCGGCGCGGUAAGUCGGGUGUGAAAUCUCGGAGCUUAACUCCGAAACUGCAUUCGAUACUGCCGUGCUUGAGGACUGGAGAGGAGUACUGGAAUUUACGGUGAGCGGUGAAAAUGCGUAGAUAUCGUAAGGAAGACCGUGGCGAAGGCGGGUCUCUGGA
rnacentral:rRNA from 1 species